GAAUGUGAGGGUGGUCUGACUGCAGCAUCUGUCCCCACUUUGCUCUCCAGGGUUGAUUUGGCUGAUCUGGCUGGCUAGGCUGGUGUCCCCUUCCCUGCUCACCACUCCAUGUGUGUUCUUUCCAAAACUACACACUUGGUUGAAGUGGAUGACCUUCUCUGACAGAGGAGGACCAUUCUUCCAUCAAGGGUAUACGAGGAGCUGCAUUCCUUGUUAGAACCUCCAAAUGAGCUCCCCAAAUUAGGCAGGAUAUUUGAAUAGACAUUCUUCCAAAAUAGACUUUCAGAUUAACAACAAGUAUAUGAAAAGAUGAUCAUUACUAAUUAU
ensembl:misc_RNA 7SK 7SK RNA